rnacentral:rRNA from 1 species
UACGGAGGGGGCUAGCGUUGUUCGGAAUUACUGGGCGUAAAGCGCACGUAGGCGGCUUUGCAAGUUAGAGGUGAAAGCCCGGGGCUCAACUCCGGAAUUGCCUUUAAAACUGCAUCGCUAGAAUUGUGGAGAGGUAAGUGGAAUUCCGAGUGUAGAGGUGAAAUUCGUAGAUAUUCGGAAGGAACACCCAGUGGCGAAGGCGACUUACUGGACACAUAUUGACGCUGAGGUGCGAAAGCGUGGGGAGCAAACAGG